rnacentral:lncRNA from 1 species
GGGUGUCCCUGUCACCCCAGUGGGGCAGGGGAUGCGUCACCCCCGCGGGGACGGGGGGGUGGCACCGGUGUCACACCGCAAAGGGGUUGUGUCACCCGGCUAGGGACCGGGGUUGUCACCCUGCUGGGGACAGGGGACACUCUGAUGGGGACACGGUGUUGUGUCACCCUGCUGGCGACAUGUCACCCCUCCUGACACCCUGCUGGGGACACAGGGGUUGUCACCCAGGUGACAAUUUGCUGGAGACUACGGUUGUGUCACGACACUGGGGACAGGGGAUGUGUCACCCCACUGGGGACCGGGGCUGUCACCCUGCUGGGGACAGGGGACACUCUGGUGCGGACACAGUGUUGUGUCACCCUGCUGGGGACAUGUCACCCCUCCUGACACCCUGCUGGGGACACAGGGGUUGUCACCCCCCUGAUAAUUUGCUGGGGACUGCGGUUGUGUCACAACACCAGGGACAGGGGAUGUGUCACCCCACUGGGGACAGGGGACACUCUGAUGGGGAUAUGUCACCCCUCCCGACACCCUGCUGGGGACACAGGGGUUGUCACCCGGGUGACAAUUUGCUGGGGACCACGGUUGGGUCACCCUCCUGGGGACAGGGGACGUGUCACCCUGCUGGGAAAAGGGGCUGUCACUCUGCUGGGGACAGGGGACACUCUGAUGGGGACACAGUGUUGUGUCACCCUGCUGGGGACAUGUCACCCCUCCUGACACCCUGCUGGGGACACAGGGGCUGUCACCCGGGUGACAAUUUGCUGGGGACUGCGGUUGUGUCACAACACCGGGGACAGGGGACGUGUCACCCCGCUGGGGACCGGGGCUGUCACCCUGCUGGGGACAGGGGCUGUGGGGAUGUCACCGUUGCGAAGAGGUGGCGGGGACAGGGGACGUCCCGUCGCGUUGUCACCCUGCCGGUGACCUGCCACCCCUCUCCCCCCCCGGUGGGGACAGUGACAGCGUGACGCUGCGGCGUGGGGUGGGUUGUCACCCGGGGAUGAGGCAAUGGGGACAGCGGCUGUGACACCCUGGGGGGGGUGUCACCCCCGAAGCGAGAUGGUGGGGACAGGGGUGGUGUCA